rnacentral:rRNA from 1 species
GCAUGGUACAGAAGUCAAAGCUUUAUGUGCUGAGAGAUGGUCUCGCGUCUGAUUAGCUAGAUGGCGGGUAACGGCCCACCAUGGCGACGAUCAGUAGCCGGUCUGAGAGGAUGAACGGCCACAUUGGGACUGAGAUACGGCCCAGACUCCUACGGGAGGCAGCAGUGGGGAAUAUUGGGCAAUGGGGGAAACCCUGACCCAGCAACGCCGCGUGAAGGAAGAAGGCCUUCGGGUUGUAAACUUCUUUUACCAGGGACGAAGAACGUGACGGUACCUGGAGAAAAAGCAACGGCUAACUACGUG